AUUGAACGCUGGCGGCAGGCCUAACACAUGCAAGUCGAGCGGAUGAAGGGAGCUUGCUCCUGGAUUCAGCGGCGGACGGGUGAGUAAUGCCUAGGAAUCUGCCUGGUAGUGGGGGAUAACGUCCGGAAACGGGCGCUAAUACCGCAUACGUCCUGAGGGAGAAAGUGGGGGAUCUUCGGACCUCACGCUAUCAGAUGAGCCUAGGUCGGAUUAGCUAGUUGGUGGGGUAAAGGCCUACCAAGGCGACGAUCCGUAACUGGUCUGAGAGGAUGAUCGGUCACACUGGAACUGAGACACGGUCCAGACUCCUACGGGAGGCAGCAGUGGGGAAUAUUGGACAAUGGGCGAAAGCCUGAUCCAGCCAUGCCGCGUGUGUGAAGAAGGUCUUCGGACUGUAAAGCACUUUAAGUUGGGAGGAAGGGCAGUAAGUUAAUACCUUGCUGUUUUGACGUUACCAACAGAAUAAGCACCGGCUAACUUCGU
rnacentral:rRNA from 1 species